rnacentral:rRNA from 1 species
UACGGAGGGUGCAAGCGUUAUUCGGAAUUACUGGGCGUAAAGCGUGCGCAGGCGGUUUGUUAAGCCCGUUGUGAAAGCCCCGAGCUCAACUUGGGAAUUGCAGUGGAUACUGGCAGGCUGGAGUACGGUAGAGGAAGGUGGAAUUCCCGGUGUAGCAGUGAAAUGCGUAGAGAUCGGGAGGAACACCAGUGGCGAAGGCGGCCUUCUGGACCAGUACUGACGCUCAUGCACGAAAGCGUGGGGAGCAAACAGG